UAGCUCAACGGCUGAGCAUGUGCUUUGCAUGCAGAAGGUCACGGGUUCAAUCCCUGUCAUAUAAU